GCGGGCGUGGCGGAAUGGCAGACGCGCCGGACUUAGGAUCCGGUGGGUAAAACCGUGUGAGUUCGACUCUCACCGCCCGCA
rnacentral:tRNA from 1 species